UUUUAUUCGAUUAUGAAAAAAAUAAAUAUGAGUCUAAUAUUUUCUAAUUAUCUGUCUGACGGAGAUGUAGAAUUUCUAUUUCAUUACCAGUCAUCAUCCCAAUUUUGUUGAAUGUUGAAAUGUUUUUGUUGAUUGUGUAGGGCAAAACACAAGCUGGAGAACCAGCCUUAGUUAAAAUUGUAUAAAUGUCAUUAUUAUAACACGCUUAUUAUUAUUUUUAGGGAAAUCAAAGAUUUUUCUUCUAUACCAACUCGUCAAAAUGUCUGUUAUAUUGUUUUUUUUGUUAUGGCAAUAUUUUUAAUUACUUACAACUUUAAUUGUCAUAGGCUGGGUUGCACCAUCAUACUUUAACUUUGACAAACGUCAAAAAUCUGUCAAAUUCCAUACUAAAGCACCGGUUAUAGUCAUAGUUACCGUUAAAGGAGGUGGUGCAACUCAGCCAUAGAGUAUUAAAUAGUAAAACGCACAUUGCUGUGGUAAUCAUACAAAUCUAAAGAUAUUUUUGUCUUCUUCACACUCAAUAGGUGAGAAUAAGACAGAUGUAUUUUUGACUUAUUAUGUAGCAAGAUUUGUACCAAUGUUAAAUAAAUGUAAAUAUUGUUGAUUUCGUACUGUAAAAAUAAAUAAAUAUCAAUAUUAAUACCUCAGGCGUAGCUUAGUAAUGAAAUAGACUGUCAAUUGUUACAAUCUGUCACUUUGACAGAAACUGUCAAUUAACGCACCAUUUGGGAACCUAUUUGAUUUAAACCAAGCACUAUAUAGGUUUCAAUCUAGUAUUGAAUGAAGACCUCAGUGUCUAUAGAACGAGCCUUAAGGCUGUCUGCCCACCGUAGCGGAGAGGAGAGAAGCGGAGCGGAGAUACGCUGUGCCAAUAUUAACCAAUAUGAUUGUUUAAUAAAACCUCCGCCCCACUUGGACAACGAUUUGCGAACUUGUUUAAAUACUGUUAUAUUUGUGAAAUGUGAAUAAGGAGAGCCGAGAAAUGAAGCACGGAAGCGGAGAAAGAAGCGGAAUAAACUGGAUGUGAUCUCCAGCAAUUCAAUUUCAACUUCUUUGUUAAAGGCCCUUUACAGAACAUACCACACAGAUAUACAGCUUGCCGGACCACAAUGGAUGUAAACAGUCCGCAUCUCCGCUCCGCAUCCCUCUCCGCUAUAUCGCUCCGCGUCAAUGGAUAGUAGCCUUAUUUAAUAAUAAUGAGUAAUGAGUUGAUAUCUUAUGUUUGCAUUCGUAUGUACA